CCAGUAGUCUUUUGUAAUACCAUAUAUAUGUAGAAUAUUAUUAGAAAUCGUAGCAAUUAAGCUACUAGCUAGGGUUUCUCAUUCGUAUUGUGAAGGCCAAAGGAAGGCUCCCAUGGCAAACUUCCUCUUCUGGUUGACAUCCCCAAUGAGUGGGAGGCCGUACUGCUUCAUAAGGCAGUCCAGUUUCCAUUCAGGCAUGCUCUCAUAGUCACUCUUCUGGUACCUUGGGUAGUGCAGAGGCAUCUGGAAGUUGCAUGGGGUGUUGUUCUUGCUAGUUUGCUCAUUUACUUGGAGACCGCCGGGCAUGGUGAAAGCGUGGUUGCUAAAGCCAGUUCCAGUGGUACUCAUCUUCUCAAAUAUGUUGAGAAAGCUGGUAACUCAUGCAGAGUUGCUAACUUGGUAGUUGGUGUUGCAAAGUUGGCCUUUUAUAGGCAUCCCAAAGAGCAUGAUAGUGGAAGAUUACUCGAGUAUGCGCUUGAAGAUAAGACAGAGCAAUCAAGAAAACAUUUAAUGCGAUGAAAGCUAAAUCACAUUGAAGAAUGUGUGGUGACAAACUUUUGAGUGUUACACAUUCAUACUAUCAUGUGGUGUUAGCGAAAUACGUAUUAAUAUAUAUAUAUAUAUAUAUAUAUAUAUAUAUAUAUAAUACGUGUUUCAUAUUUAUAAAUCAUAGAUAAAAAUUCAUAUUUUAUGACUCAUGAAAAUAGUAUUAACAAAUAAUAUAUGUUAUACAAUAUAAGUAAAUUAAAUCAUGUGACAAUAUUGUAACCCCCACAUCAAAAAGAUUACUGAGCCAUCUUUUGGUAGAUUUUCAUGACGAAGGUAAACUUGGAUAAAUUUGGAUUCUAGGCCUCGUUUGAUAUUUAGGAUUGGGUUAGUUUGGACAAUCCAUUUCAAUGAAAGUUGAACAAAAAUAGGGAUGCCAACUUGCAUAUUUUGUUAAAUGAAGGUAGAAGAUGGAGAAAUCAUGAAGAAAACUUAUCCCUCAAAAUCCCCACAAAAAUGGUAGAAUUGAGAGGGCCAAAUUUGCUUCAUGACUUUUCUAUCUUCGACCUAGAGUAGACGGACGUUGGUUAGGUUUGAGAAGAUGAGUUUUUGGAAGAAAAUAUUUUAGGGAUAAAUUUGGGAUUUUCUGGAUCAAAUAUUUUAGUUUGGUGUAUUAAUUUAUUUAAAAAUUGGGUGCCAAUAGAGGCACCUGAAAAUUAUAGUUAGCAAAUAAAUUAUUGGACCAAAAUACUUUAUGGAACCGUUGAAUACAUGGUAAUAUUGUCAUUUGCCAAGGUGGAAGGAAUUAGUUGUGAUGUAUCUAGUGUUCCAAUAAAAUUGAUAUUGAGGAGGGAGUAAUUGUUGGAAUCAAAUUUGUGCACUAUCAUGGAUGGCGGAGGCACAAAUUAGAGUAACAUUUAAAACAGAAAAAACCGUGAGCAAGUCUAAGAUAGGGUGAGUUGUGUGUGCCAGCCAAAGGAUCUCUAACGAUCAGGUUAGUAAGCAAGUAUAAGACUAAAGCAACGGGUAAGAGAAUUAGAGAGCGAUGAUUGUGCUACCAGAGAUGAACCCUGUGUGUAUUUAUAUCAGUCGAGAAAGAGACAUUUUUAUGAUAGAAUCUUUGUGCUAAGUUGAGAGAAUCUUAGAGGAUAUCUAGAAGUAAAUAUUGUCAUCCUCUUAGAAUGUGAUUACUUGUGGCGCACGCCAAUUCCUAGAUUGUAGGAACUGUAAUACAUAUAGAGAAUAUGGUUGAUUCUGUGCUGGAUCAUAUCCUCUUAUCUUGAGGAACAAGCAUGGUCAUUCUCAACGAAGUUGCUGAAACUUCACUCACUGCUCUGGAAUAGGAUGAUGGUGGUACCACUGCUUCGUUUGAUUUAGCUCCGCUCGGAGCUGUUGAGUGCAUGAUCAGACUCCUGAGGUAAUUGUAUUCUAAUUAGCCUUAUUCGGCCCUGGAAAAUUAUAUAGUCCAACGGUAAUUAUAAAAAAAAAUAAAUAAAAAAAAAACCUCAAGAAUAAGAGCAAGCAGAUGAUCUCAAUCACUUGAGUAAUUGGCCCUUGCUGAAAUGUAUGUAGUUGUAAUACCAAGAUGCUAAUAAUGCCAAAAUAUCCUGAUAAUGCUACUAAAUGCCAACAAAAUGCUUUUCCGAACAAUUCUGAUAUAUUUUCUUCCCUGAUAUCAUAGCAACUUGAUCAAUGUCCCUCUUUCAAUAAAUCCCUGGCCUUGGCCAGUUGUUCCUCUAUGCCAAAAUUGGAAUAAGUCCUCACAACUAUUCAAUGAUCAAGUGCAAAUGUUGAGCAUAUGUCGCCCAAUGAUGAGGAUGCCAAAGCUCCAGUCCAUUUUUAAUGACAUAUAAUUGUUAUAGCUAGUUAUACUUAUGCAUCACUUGAUGAAUUCAGAUAAACAACAGCCAAUCAAUCUCACUCAAAUCGUUAAUUUGUCUAUCGGAAAAUCAAUGAAGCGCAACAACAUUGCAUUGCAUUGCAGCCAGAAGAAUCGAUCUGCCAUCUUUUUCUCAACCCUAGCAAUUUGAAUCGAUCUGAGUGGAUAAACUGUGUGCGUGCUCCCGGACGCAAGAAAAUGAUCUAUAAUCUAUGAUCUAUCCUUGUCUCUAGCAAACCGAAUCGAUUAAGGCAAAGGGACCCGAAACACAAGUGGGCUUAACUAGUUAUAAGAAAGUCAAAGUAUUUGGAUGUUCACAACGAUCACCAGAUCAUGAAAAGACAUAUUUCAUGCUCAUUAGGGCAGCUGGAGCAUUCUAGUUCUACGAGUGAAAUGAUACAAGGUUAUUAUUGAUCCACAUCAAUCUCAGGUUGUGGAGUUGAAACGUCAUGCAUGCAUGGUGGGCAUGGGAUUGCAGGAAGGUGACUGACUGGAUAAAAAUGAAAUAGAAGGGUACUGAUUAUUUUCUGUGUCCGAAUUUGUGUGCCGUGGAUGAGAGGUCAUGUGUUAUUUUCAUAUUUAUUGAGAAAACCUAAUGUGAAGAAACUUCAUGCCAAACCCACUUCACCUAAGAUGGCAUCUAAUAGGAUUUUCACCAUCUGCAUACUCAGGGUUAAAUCCCAUAGAGUACUUGCAAGAGAAUAAAGUUAUUGUAGUAUAACGGCUCAAGCAAAGACGAUCUUCAUAGAAACUGAGAUGAAUAUUUUGUGUUUAAGUACAAUUCUUAUUUAACUAUUUAAUACAAGAUUAAGAAAGAUGAGAAUAUUGAAUAAAAGUAACAAGUGCAAAUAAAGAGAAAUAUUACAAGCUAAAAAUAAUAAUUGUAAAAAUAGCAAUCCAAAAAGUUUAAUAAGCAUUAGGGUUCAGCCGUCACCAGUAAAAAUCCUAUGUAGUUCUAUUAAUUACUUUUGCGUCAACACAUGCAAACUUUCAGCUUAGGUUUUCCUUAUGCAUAUUCCACUCGUGACAUUCAAGUUAGAACGUAUAUCCAAUAUGCAAUGCGUAAUUUGACAUUCACAUAAAAAAUCAACAUGCAAGACUCGUUAAAUUUUGUGAGAGCCUUAUAAAAAACCAGGGUAACCUUAAGAGCAUGACACUCACGUGAACAUACAAUUUCCAACCACAAGAAGCAUUAACCAAUUUCAGGCUGACAUUCCAAUAGGAAUUGCAUCCGAUUACUUGUCUAAACAUCUUAAUAGCGAUAAAGUGUUAAGACAUAAAGAUAGUUUAAAACAGUGAUUGAAAAUUCAAAGUAAGCAUAUAUAACAAUAUAAGUAAGUUAAAAAGAAACUAUAUAUUCAUGUUAAAACUCGUAACCUCGCCCAAGCAAAAGAGUUAAUUAGAAAUAAAACAUAAUGGAAUAUCAAAAGUUUUCUUGUGUUGGGAUCAAUAUUCUAACAAAUGCAAGGCACUAGUCGAGCGAUGGGUUGGGGCUAGGCGGGAGCCUAGGCGGAUUUGAAUAAUUUAUUAUAUAUUAUAUAAACUAAUUAAAUUUGAACAUUAAAUAAUAUGUUAUUUUUCAAAAAGGUGAGAGUUUUAGCCUUUUAGGUACAUAAUAAAAAUAUAUGUGGUGUGAUCUUAAAUAGGGUAAUAAAACCCCAUAAAAACAAACAUAAAAAAGUGACAUUUAAGAGAGAAAAAAAUAGUAAAAAAAGAUGGUGGGACCAUCUUAAGAAAAAUCAUGCAAUUAAAAAUUUUAAAUGAUGUUGGGAAUAGGGUUGUCUCCUUCCUUGCACGAGGUUGACUCUGCAACAAAAGAUUUCCAAAUUCCGACGCUUACAUAUAAUCCCGCCUAGCUUCCGCCCAUCCCAGCCUAGACUUGCCUAACUCCACUUUAUCCGGCCUGGGCGUCCGCCCAAUGUGCUUUCCGAUUUUGUGGCUGAUCAUGAGUUAAAUCGCGGCAGCCUACUUGAUCUAGCACCUAGGCAGCCGCCUAGGCUAAUUUUUUGAACACUAGGUGGGAUCUUAGUUUAGUUCGUUGAAUUCUGGUAAAGCGGACACUCUCCAAACUACAAGCACUGGGUAGAGACAAGAUUCUAUAUUUCAAGGAUAUUGCGAUACACAAGUCUCGAACUUUAUUCCAUUUGUUUAAUUUCAGUUUGUUUUAUUCAAAUUGUAUCCAUGUAUAUAGUUGUAAUUUAUUGUUCAUUAGCAUAUAAUUUUGGGUACAUAUAUUUCAAAUUUAUUUCUGCAAUAUAUUAAAUUUGUGAUUGAUUGUUGAUACUUAUCUAACAUCUUGAACACGUGCUUCAUAAUGAUCAUCUCGGUUGAGGUAUAUUUGCAACCAACAAGUAAUUGUGUACACAAAGAUGGUUUUCAUCCAAUAAAAUUGGGAUUCAAGUCAAAUUUUUAAGUUGUGCUCAUAGUUACCGCAGUUUCGGUCACUUUUGGGGGACAAUAUUCUCGACGUUAGGAGGAGAAAUGAUAGUUUUCAAAGAACGCCGAGAAUUAGCGUUGAUACAUGUGCAUUUGUCUCAUCCAAACUAUAUAUGAGUUAGAAGGGACUAUGAUGAUUAAUCUAUUGCAUGCCUAAAGCAUGACAGAUAUAUAAGUUCUAAACUUUGAACUCUCUGUAAGUGGAGAUUAAUUAAGUUCAAGUCCUAAUUGAAAAUAACUCUCCGUAGGAGGGCAUAUCCAAGUAAUUCAUCUUAAGAUAUUUGUCCUAGAUGUAACAAUGGAAGCCCCAAAGAGUCAUUGUACCCAAGCAAUGGAAUACUUAUAUAUUAAGCAUGCCAAUGAGAAUUGUUAGGUCACAAAUUGAUGAUAAUCAAUAAUUAUUAUAAUAGCUAAUCAUAUCAUGAAGGACUAUUUAGUCACGUUUUCCCAAAAAUAUCGACAAAGUAAAGGGUGGCCAAAACUAGAAAGAGAUAAUUCCAUUUUGAGCCACUGAAAAACGUGAAAUCAAUGAACCUAUAAUUUAAACCCCAAAUUUAUUCUUGCGUGUGUGUAAUAAAAAUAAAUAAGCCCACUAAUAUGGCAUAAGACUUUGUAAUAUAUUUCAUUAUAGAUGCAAUCACAUUUCUAGAAGUACAGUGUUAAUUUAGACGUGAGACUUAUCACUUUGUGGAGAUUGCAUACUAACCAUUUGAGAUUUUAUCUCUCAAAGUAAUUCUUACAGUAUGAAAAUGCCAUGAAAUUCUUUAUCAAAGUUCUCAAAUGAAGUUCCUAAAUUUAUUUGAUUACAUUAAUGCAAGACUACAGUUAAAAAUUUAUAAUGUAUUGUUGAAUACUUUAGAAAUUGUAGUAAAGCUAGUGUUUCUGCUACUCUCAUUCAUGCUGGGAAGGCCAAAGGAAGGCCCCCAUGGCAAACUUCCUCUUCUGGCUGACACCUCCAAUGACUAGGAGACCGUACUGCAUCAAAAAAUAGUCCAGUUUCCACUCAAGCAUGCUCUCAGAGUCUCUCUUCUAGUAUCUUGGGUAGUGUAGAG
rnacentral:lncRNA from 1 species